GCGGGUUUGUCCACUGGUGAUCUUGACUUUCUGGCCAUGUCUCCUGUGUUGGCUCUUUUGGUUGAGAAUUUCGAACCCAUGGGUCCCGAAGGACUCGGGGGUUGUAGUCGCAAUAAUGCAGGUGCACUGCUUCUUCCGGCCCGAGAUCAGCUCCAUGCCAGGUGCGUUCUUGAUGGGUGGUCAUCCUUUCAGAUGCCACUCAUUGUGGAGCUCUCUGGUUUACCGGUGUCACUGCAAUCUCAAUCAAAAAAUUUUGAACAACAUAGAGGCCAAGGUUCGGGUU
rnacentral:lncRNA from 1 species